rnacentral:rRNA from 1 species
GUAGAACGGGCCAACGAGUUAUGGUAUGCAGCGAGGUUAAGUUCCUGGAGGAACGGAGCCGUAGGGAAACCGAGUCUUAAUAGGGCGAGUAGUUGUAUGCUGUAGACCCGAAACCGGGUGACCUAUCCAUGUGCAGGUUGAAGUAACCGUAAAAGGUUAUGGAGGACCGAACUUAUAUCCGUUGAAAAGGGUUAGGAUGACGUGUGGAUAGCGGUGAAAUUCCAAUCGAACUCGGAGAUAGCUGGUUCUCCUCGAAAUAGCUUUAGGGCUAGCCUCAAGGAAGAGAUACACGGGGGUAGAGCACUGAAUGUUCUAGGGGCCUUCACCGGUUACCGAAAACUAUCAAACUCCGAAUACCGUAGUAUCAUACUUGGGAGUCAGACUACGAGUGAUAAGAUCCGUGGUCAAAAGGGAAACAGCCCAGACCUACAGCUAAGGUCCCAAAAUGUAGAUUAAGUGGAGAAGGAUGUGGAGCUGCAUAGACAACUAGGAUGUUGGCUUAGAAGCAGCCACUCAUUUAAAGAGUGCGUAAUAGCUCACUAGUCGAGUGACUCUGCGCCGAAGAUAAACGGGGCUAAAAUCUACUACCGAAGCUUAGGAAUUACUUAAUGUAAUUGGUAGAGGAGCAUCGUAUAACGGGCUGAAGCUAUGCUGUAAGGCAUGGUGGACUUUAUACGAGAGAGAAUGUUGGCAUGAGUAGCGUAAGGCAGGUGAGAAUCCUGUCCGCCGAAAAUCUAAGGUUUCCUGAGGAAGGUUCGUCCUCUCAGGGUUAGUCGGGGCCUAAGCCGAGAGCGAAAGCUGUAGGCGAUGGACAACAGGUUGAUAUUCCUGUACCACCGAAAGUCGUUUGAGCGAAGUGGGGACACAGAAGGAUAGGUUGAGCACGCUGUUGGUUAUGCGUGUCUAAGCGUCAAGGGAGUUAAGAUAGGCAAAUCCGUUUUAACAAUUCUGAGGCGUGAUGGGGUGGCCGUAAGGCUGGAAGCAACUGAUUUCACACUGUCAAGAAAAGCCGCUAGCGAGAUUGUAGGUGCCCGUACCGUAAACCGACACAGGUAGAUGAGGAGAGAAUCCUAAGGUGAGCGAGAGAACUAUUGUUAAGGAACUCGGCAAAAUAACCCCGUAACUUCGGGAGAAGGGGUGCUCCGGAAACGGAGCCGCAGUGAAAAGUCCCAGGCGACUGUUUACCAAAAACACAGGUCUCUGCUAAAGCGAAAGCUGAAGUAUAGGGGCUGACGCCUGCCCGGUGCUGGAAGGUUAAGGGGAUGUGUUAGGGCAACCGAAGCACUGAACUUAAGCCCCAGUAAACGGCGGCCGUAACUAUAACGGUCCUAAGGUAGCGAAAUUCCUUGUCGGGUAAGUUCCGACCCGCACGAAAGGCGUAACGAUCUGGGAACUGUCUCAACAAUAGACUCGGUGAAAUUGUAGUACCGGUAAAGAUGCCGGUUACCCGCAGCAGGACGGAAAGACCCCAUGGAGCUUUACUGUAGCUUGAUAUUGAGUUUCGGCGUUGCAUGUACAGGAUAGGUGGGAGACUAUGAGCCUAGUACGCCAGUAUUAGAGGAGUCACCGUUGGGAUACCACCCUUGUAACGUUGAAGUUCUAACGGCGUGCCGUGAUCCGGCACCCGGACAGUGUCAGGUGGGCAGUUUGACUGGGGCGGUCGCCUCCUAAAGAGUAACGGAGGCGCCCAAAGGUUCCCUCAGCGCGGACGGAAAUCGCGCGUAGAGUGUAAAGGCAGAAGGGAGCUUGACUGCGAGACAUACAGGUCGAGCAGGGACGAAAGUCGGGCUUAGUGAUCCGGUGGUUCCGAGUGGAAGGGCCAUCGCUCAACGGAUAAAAGCUACCCUGGGGAUAACAGGCUGAUACCGCCCAAGAGUUCACAUCGACGGCGGUGUUUGGCACCUCGAUGUCGGCUCGUCUCAUCCUGGGGCUGUAGUAGGUCCCAAGGGUUGGGCUGUUCG